CCUACGGGUGGCAGCAGUGAGAAAUAUUGGUCAAUGGCCGUAAGGCUGAACCAGCCAAGUAGCGUGAGGGAAGACUGCCCUAUGGGUUGUAAACCUCUUUUAUGCGGGGAUAAAGGUGUCCACGUGUGGAUGUUUGCAGGUACCGCAUGAAUAAGGACCGGCUAAUUCCGUGCCAGCAGCCGCGGUAAUACGGAAGGUCCGGGCGUUAUCCGGAUUUAUUGGGUUUAAAGGGAGCGUAGGCCGGUCUUUAAGCGUGCCGUGAAAUUUUGUGGCUCAACCUCUUUCCGCCGUUGAAACUGUCGGGCUUGAGUGGGCGAGAAGUAUGCGGAAUGCGUGGUGUAGCGGUGAAAUGCAUAGAUAUCACGCAGAACUCCGAUUGCGAAGGCAGCAUACCGGCGCCCGACUGACGCUGAGGCACGAAAGCGUGGGUAUCGAACAGGAUUAGAUACCCGGGUAGUC
rnacentral:rRNA from 1 species